AUUGAACACUGGCGGCAUGCUUUACACAUGCAAGUCGAACGGUAACAGGUUAAGCUGACGAGUGGCGAACGGGUGAGUAAUGCAUCGGAACGUGCCCGGUCGUGGGGGAUAACACUUCGAAAGAAGUGCUAAUACCGCAUACGAUCUGAGGAUGAAAGCGGGGGACCGUAAGGCCUCGCGCGAUGGGAGCGGCCGAUGUCCGAUUAGGUAGUUGGUGGGGUAAGGGCUCACCAAGCCGACGAUCUGUAGCUGGUCUGAGAGGACGACCAGCCACACUGGGACUGAGACACGGCCUAGACUCCUACGGGAGGCAGCAGUGGGGAAUUUUGGACAAUGGGCGCAAGCCUGAUCCAGCAAUGCCGCGGGCAGGAAGAAGGCCUUCGGGUUGUAAACUGCUUUUGUACGGAGCGAAAAGGCUCUCUCUAAUACAGGGGGCUCAUGACGGUACCGUAAGAAUAAGCACCGGCUAACUACGUGCCAGCCGCCGCAGUAACAC
rnacentral:rRNA from 1 species